ACCUAUUUGAAUGCCUUUUCUUUCUCUUGUUUGAUUGCUCUGGCAGACCUCCAGUGCUACGUUGAACACAGGUGGUGAGCAUCAGCAUCCGUGCCUUCAUCCAGUUCUCAAGAGGAAUGCUUCCAGCUUUUGCUUGUUCAGUAUGAUGUUGGCCGUGGGUUUUGUAUAGAUGGCUCCUAAUACUUUGAGGGGAAAGCAACCAUGAUGGGCAUGGAAUGAUUGUGUGAGUUCACAGAAGAGAGGAUUCCAGAGAGGGUGCAAGAUAUGACCAAAUACUGACACCGCUUCACCUCUACUCCAAAUAAUGCUUCUGUGCUACUUUUUAGACAUCUUAUUCUACACUUACAAGUGCGAUACAAUGAGAUUACAAGAAUGUGCUGAAACAAAACGUGAAUAGCAAGACUCAAAUCCGGCAGCCUGAUUUCUGCAAGACAAAGGCACUGAGACACCGAGUUGACUAACUACCUGAUUCUUCAAAAGCAAUGAGGUAAUUUUGAAAGAAACAGACUGGUUUCAGAACCUGUGUGCUUAAUCACUGUAUACACAGAACUAUCCCACUAGUGUAUCUUCCCAGUAAACCUAGCAAAAUACAUUUGUGACAUCAUAAUAGGAAAUGGUUCCUUAGGAAAGGCAUUAAUACUUGAAACAGUGAGGGAAAAUAUAGAUACAUUUCAACAAUUUAAGCAACUAUGUAACAAAAGACUACAAAGUUCAAGUGAAUGAGAAAUCUCAGACUUUUACGUAUGACCAUUUUAUCAAGUAAAAUGGCAAGUUUAUGAAGAAUUCCCACAAUGAAAAAAGGUAAAUCUUCCAAAGGAAAAAUAAGUAGAUAAUUUCAAAGGGAG
rnacentral:lncRNA from 1 species